GCCAGGCCGUAACACAACAAUCAAACAACUAAUUGUUCGCCAAAUAACUACGAGUAUAGACUUAAAAUUUAAAAGACUUGACGGUGCUUUACACCAACCUAGAGGAGCCUGUCUAAUAACCGAUACCCCACGAUUAACCCAACCCACCCUAGCCCAACAGUCUAUAUACCGCCGUCGCCAGCUCACCUUGUGAAAGAAAUAUAGUGAGCAAAAUGGACUCCCCACACACGACAGGUCGAGGUGUAACUCAUGGAUGGGUAAAAGAUGGGCUACAUUUUCUAUUACAGAACACACGAAUAUACUAUGAAACUAGAAACUGAAGGAGGAUUUAGCAGUAUGAUAAGAAUAGAAUGCUUAUCUGAAACCAAUGCAAUGAAGCGCGUACACACCGCCCGUCAUCCCUGCCAACCAACCCCAAAAAUCCAUAAAUCAACCACUAACAUUAAAACAGGGC
rnacentral:rRNA from 1 species